UGGUUCACCCCGAAAAAAGCAUGUGCGUU
rnacentral:piRNA from 1 species